CCUGCCAGUAUCUCACUGACAGUGUGAGCGUGGAUAUCCAGGACAUAAUCGGAGCAUACGAGCGCUCUGACCCGGAGGACGCGUGCCGCGGGGCCGGAGGCCGUUGGAGGUUCUCCAAGGCUCUCCAGUCCAACCUGAGGCCCCUCCGACUCUUCAACCCCAACGACGAAGGUGACUCUGUGGACGGGGAGGCCCGACCCUCACAGAAGGUCCUCAGGAGGAAGUCCUCCCUCAGCAGGAUGAAGCCCGAACUGCACAGGCUGCGCUUGAGGACAUCGCAGAUUGUCCACAGGAUGUCGUUCCGUGAGCCAGAGGAGUCGGGGGGCUCUGGGAAAGGUUCCCUUAAGUCCAGACCCAAGACCCACUUCUUUGGGUGAAGUCAAUGCAGUUACAGAGCGCAGCGUCUACAGGAAUAUGGCAGAGGAGCAUUUCUAUAUUCCACUUCCAUUACUAGGCUGGGUGUUUGGAGCUGGUUUAUUAUCAGGGGAAAGCUGAUACUCUAUUAAUAAUAUCCAGCACCUUAAAAUGUGAACAAUUGUAGUCCAAAUAAUCAACACUCAAAAAGCUAUGUGAGACCUCUUCAAAUCCUCCUUAGUCCAAUGAUCCCAUAAGACAUUCAUAACUGUCAUAAUCAUAAAUUCAGGAAUGAUGAAUGUAUGAAAAGGUUAUAGUUUUUAUGAGAUGGUUUGAGCCUCUAAUUCUGCUAGAAAAUACUUACCAAUUACAGCCUUGCGAGCUGCGAGAGGCUUGCGUAGCUUUUGAUGCUAGUCUAGAAAAAUGGGUCACAGGUGUUGGUGAGAAGCAAAAUAGUUUUUUGACCGUGAGGGUGAGCGUGAAGUGUGGACGUGAAGUGUGGACGGGGAGCGUGGACGGGGAAGCGUGGAAUGAGAGCGAGGAGCGCGAGCGUGACAGAGUGAACGUGACCGGGUGGAAGAGGCAUGUACGAAGAUAAUUGGAUGGUGUCAUUAAAGAACAAAAUAAAGGACAAUCAAAGAAGAGGAAACGUCUCGAGGAGUAUUUAAACACGUCAAAACACCAACCUAAGAGAGGAGGACCUAACUUUGAGAAGCAAACAGGGUCUCUACAACGUUAUUAGUAUAUGUUGUAUAAGUGUAGAAAGUCAUAAGGACUCAAGACAUGACAAGACAACACUUUGUGUUGAGGUUUUGUCAUAUAUACACACAAAUAUAAUAUCAUUAUUACUAAUUUUUCCAUCUCCAUCUCGGCAUAAAAUAAACAUUUAUUUUCUUAUCAACUAGUAAACCUACACAUUUUUAACAAUUAUAGUAUUAUUGGUAGUCUAUUGGUAGUUCGUCAACAUGAUACCAAACUGAUCAACAAUUAUAGGCACACGCUAAUAAGAUAUAUGCUAUUUUAUUCAACAAGCAACUUAACUCAAAUAAUGAUGAUGAUGUGUGCACUAGGCAUCUCUUUCCAGCUGUCUCCAGGCUGUUGUGCACGAGCUGAGCGCCUGCUGUUCAAGUCACGCACAAUGCACUUUUGCAGCCAAGCACAUAUUGUGUUUGUGUCAUUUGAAGGGAAAAUGGGUGCAAUUUAGCAUUCGAGUCACUUUACAAAAGUUGCUCAAAGGUGCCAAAUAUAUAUUUUUAAAUGGCUAGAUUUGUUUCUAUGUGCUGUGGAAAAAACACGUUGCCAGGGUAGUCUGAAAGGUAGCUGAAUCGUCCCAGCCGUCGGAGCUCUUUGACCUACGUGUAUUGAGAUGGAGUAAUGGUUAUAACAUUGUACAACAAUUAUUACCCCAAACUAACGGUAAAACACCAGGACACAACAAUUAGUGACAGAUAAACAAUUUGUAACAAUAAGAUUUAUUGCUUUUUUAAAAUUGUAUAUGUCGUAUGACCAAUACAUUUAAAGCUUCUUUGUCUGAAAAGUUGACAUAUUUAAUAAAGGCUCAUGAAUGUGUCCUUGUGUUUCAUUAUUAAAAGAUAAAUGUUCAUUACAGACACCUGGUAUUUCCAUUACACAACCCUGAUUUAUCGUAGGUACCUGGAAUGGAUUAAUGGGCCAUUUUAAGGUUUGACUCGCUUCCUCUGACUAAAUAAACAAUACUAUACGUUAGAGCAUCUUUACAAAGGCUUGUGUGUGUUUGUUUUUAUGUUUUAAGUUCUCCCAGAUAGAAUUGAUCAGCUCCUCACUGUUGUUGAGCCUGCGUAGGGUGAGGCUCUCAAGAAGG
ensembl:lncRNA